CGAGACGUGGGCAUGGGGGCGAAACAAUAGCGUUUGUGUUUUGAGGAUGGGGGGGGAUGGGGGGACAGUUCAUUUAUAUAUGUAUGGGUGUGAAUAGAAGAUACAUCGAUCGAUCGACCGAUACAGGAUUACAAAUUUGGUUGCCAUGUGUAACUUAUUACAUGUUGUGCCGUAUGUAUAUUCAAACACCAAGUUAAGUUAAGCCAGAAAGAAACAAGGAUACUGACACAGGUGGGACGCCGUGUCGAACAAUGGCGAUUUACCACAGCCAGGAGGCGGCCGAUUGGAAAACGGCAACGGGCUGGAUACUAACAUGGAGCGAAAGGGUUCGUUCAACUGACUCCGGAGAGAGAGAUAUAUAUAUAUAUAUAUAUCUCUAUUUAUUUAUAUUACUCGUUACACGGUUCCAUCCCCCCUAGCUAGUUAAGACCCGCUUCAUCCCCCUCAUCCAUCGACUCCCGAUCCUCGAACUGGCAAAACUGGCCCCUCUCCUCCUCCGCGUCUCCCCCAGUCACAGCCUCCCACACCGCGCGCACUUGCGCGAGCAUGCCCUCAUCGAAUGCCAGAUCGAGGUUGAAGGGCGCAAACGAGAAUACGCGUCCAGAUAAGCUGCUGCUUGAAACUGCGGAUGCUUCUGCACGAGACGAUGCCGAUGGUGAUGCCGAUGGUGAUGGCGCUCGGCUCAGCAGGCCCAGUUGGGUAUAUUGGGCGCUCCACAGGAUUUUUGCAUCGGCAUCUGCCGCUCGGAGAAGAUUUGUGGCUGUAGAACGAAUGAGGGACUGUGACUCUGACUGCCGGUUAUCGUCGUCGUCGUCGUCGUCUGCCAGCGUGCUGCCGUAUAUUAUGCCUUUAGGUUUGCAUGGGUAUGUUAUGUUAGUCGUGCGCAUCGAUAUAUAUACAAAUAUAAACAACGUGGGGCAAAAGGAAUAGGUGGUAACAAUAGAUGGCUGGCUCUCUUCAGGCUGUCAGAGGAAAAGUUUAUCAUCAAUGGAAUUGCAGACAAUGUAGAUAAGUAUUCGGAAAAAGUGGAAUCAUCAUCUGAGAGCAUGUGGUUUUCGUUCGUUUUAAAAUGCAGAAAUGGAGAAAAAGAAAAUAAUAAUAAAGGAACGUACAUUGGCCAGUAGGGCAUUCCCCGGUAUCGCUGGAGUGCACGAUUAGGUACACUGGAGCACGAGUCGUUCCAGGUGGUCCGGGAACAAAUACAACUGCUCCGGCUGGGAUGACGCCCCCUUCCGAGGUGAGAGGGAAGAGGUUCUCGAGCGGAGAUGAUACGAUCAUGAUCGAGCGAGCAACCUUCGUGUACCUGGGUGAUGUUGGGCUUUGAAUUUCAUUGGGCAAAUCCCAUGGCGAACCCACAACAAACUUGCUCCGUACUGUCCCUCCGUCCGAGAGUUGAACCCGCAGUCGUCGGGCAUCAUCGUUUUGUGAACCCGCCGCUGGUACCUCUAUAUGACUUACACCCCUAUUCAAGACAUAAACACCGCCACCGACUGCACAUGCCCGACACCCUACCUGUGAUAUUUCCGCACCGCCGCCCCAUUUCGCAAGAAGAGCGCCGAAACCGACGCCGAAAACACCAAUUGAUCCCAGAUGCCUUUUUAUCCUUUCAACAGCAUAUCGCGCACUCGUCUCAUCCCACGAACGAGGAGAGAGAGAUAAAGAUGUAAGCGGGCCAUGAAGGUCUGAUGGAAUAUGAAACUUUGAUUCCAGGUAUUGCGUAAAGGGGACGACAUCCAGGUCACUGUCCUCUCCACCAUCCGCAUCACCAUCAUCCAGCGAUUGUUGGGUAAGAUGUCGGAGGAGCUUAAUCAGAGCUCUUUUCGACUUAUUCGACAUGCUGUCGUUAGCGAAGACGUCUUCUCGGCUUCCGGGCACUCGAUUUAAAGAGGCAGAACUUCCAUGUUCCAUUACCCACCAACUCCCCACCGCCUGGAACUCCAGCUGUCGAAAUAUCCUAGAUGAAACGAGAGUUGGGAUAAGUCCGGACCGGGAGUAUAUGAGUUGUGGUGAUAAUGACAGUGUAUAUGCUCUUGAAGGGGAAAGCUUGCCGCUUCCUCCAUCUUCUGAUGAAGCGGGGGAAGUGGAGAUUGAGGCAGACUCAAAGGGAGUAGAGCCCGGAGCUGGUUAGCAGCACCACCCGAUCAGCAUCCGUUGUGAGUCAAGGGACUCGCGAUUUUGUUGGCCAUUGGAGCCCAUAAUAGCUAAUGCUAAGUGUCUCACCCUCGUUGAUCCUUGUUACCCAGUCUUCGGCCUCGUGGAGGCUGAGGGCAGCAUCCGAACCUCCGUAAUAGCCAUGUUUGUCAACAUGGAGAACCUUUUUACCUGAGCGGGAGAGAGCCCUGGUCCAACAUUUUCAGUAUUAGAUUGAUUGGCGAAUUCGGGCUACCAGAAUGACAAUAGAGUGAGACAGCCCAUGACUUACAGCGCAAGUAUGGACUGGGGCAGGCCAGUCCCGGAGAUUAGCACGUCCCAGUCAACAUCAGUGAGCGGUUCCAUUCCAGCAGCAUACACAUUACAGGAUCAGCUGCUUAGUCCAUGGGAUAGCAUUAGACCAUUGGGAACGCACUAUGCAGUACGGAAACUGACAGAUCUGAAUGUUUUAUAUUCAAACCGUCGGUGUGUGCGUUUGUUGUGGGAAAUAUUAAAAGAGAUGAGGGAGUUGAAGUGAGAAAAUUACUACAAUCACCUGAUGGGGCUAACCCAAUGGGGGCUGGCGGCUUGCCCUCCACGAAAAGCGAUCACAAUUUGAGAUUAUCAACCUCUUCUUGCUUCUUUUUCCUUCUCAACAACUCACUCCAAGUGCUUCUGCGCAGACUAGGCCGCUCUCUACUAUGUAAUAAUUGCUAUGGCGCGCUUGUCUUUCGGAUAUGCCUUCAUUGGCUGUGUCCCUUUUGGAGUGUAGAUCACCUAUUUCACCCUGUAUCUGCUGCUCUGGAGAUAUUAUCGUGUGAUGGAAGCGGUUCGUUUUGUGGUGAUACAUACUUUUUUCAUACUAGUAUUUGUUAUUAAGUUUUAGUUAUUCUACUCAUUUGUGAUGGUGUACAUCCAAAAUCGUAUCCCCCGGGAGGGGAAGUCUCUUGAAGAUCUUUCUUUCCAUCAUUUCCGUGUGUGGCUGUGGAUGGAAUCCCUUUCACGGGAGUUGAGGUUGGUCUGUCAUCCCUCGCGCCUAGAAGUAGCAGGCUUUCUGUUCAGGAUGUGUAGAAUAUAUAGCAAUACCCAAGCCGCUUCUUCUAGUCAUAAUGGCAGAAUCAGGCUUUCCUGUCCUUCCUUCGCAUACUACCUUGUUCAAGGUACUGCUGGUACUGAUAAUCAUUCUUCUCCCGUUUCCUCCACAACCCUCGCCCUCACAAUCUUGACCUGAUCAACAGGCCUAUCCUCCGCCCCUGUCUUCACCAGUCCCAUGCGCUGCACAACUCUCAUCCCACUCUUCACCCGGCCGAAUAUCGUAUGCUUCCCGUCCAGCCACGGCGUCGGAGCCAGGGUGAUGAAAAAUUGGCUGCCAUUGGUGUUGGGUCCGCUAUUCGCCAUGCUCAAGACCCCUGCGCCCGUAUGUUUCAAUGCCGGGCUGAUUUCAUCCUCGAACUUUUCGCCGUAGAUCGAGCUGCCCCCUCGGCCUGUGCCGGUGGGGUCGCCGCCUUGGAUCAUGAAAUUGGGGAUGAUGCGGUGGAAGAUCACGUUGUUGUAGUAGCCGCGCUGUACGAGGGUAGCAAAGUUCUUGCAGGU
rnacentral:sRNA from 1 species